rfam:Candidatus Nasuia deltocephalinicola str. NAS-ALF, complete genome.
GGGGGUGUGGCUCAAUGGUUGAGUUUUUGUUUUGCAAAUAAAAGACUGCGGGUUCGAUUCCCGCCUCCUCCA